AUGGUUUUUGAGCAAGAAUGUAUCAUGAUAGUCCAUGGAGGUGACCCCCCCCCUCUUUUUCUCUCUCUUCUUCCUUCCUUCCUUCCCUCCUUCCUUCCCUCCUUCCUUCCUUCCCUCCUUCCUUCCUUUCCUCCUUCCUUCCCUCCUUCCUUCCUUCCUUCCUUCCUUCCUUCCUUCUUCCCUCCCCCUCUCUCUCCUUUCUUUCUUUCUUUCUUUCUUCCUUCCUUCCUUCCUUCCUUCCUUCCUUCCUUCCUUCUUUCCUCCCUCCCUUCCUCCCUUCCUCCCUUCCCAGUGACUAUGUUGAGAGUAUAAAAUGAGACAAUACUUGUACAUCACUUAUUCUCAUGUCUGGAGCACAGUGAGUACCAGAGAGAUGAUGAUGAUGAUGAUGAUGAUGAUGAUGAUGAUGAUGAUAUCUCCUAACUUGCCUUCAAUUCUCUUUCCCUGAUACCAUGUUGCCUGAGGCCACACAGGUAGUUAGUAGGACAGUGGAAAGAGGUUCCCCCACAUUGAGUAGGAAAGUCUCUGGUCUUGAACUGCUUGGGGGGUGGGGGAGGGAAAGGUAUAGAAUUGUGAGUAUUGAUUCAGAGCCAGAAGGAAAAGCAGAGACUGUCAAAUCCAAUCCUCUUAUUUUAUAGAUGAUGAAACUCAGAUUCAGAGGUUGCAAUGAAGGGUCACACAGCUAGUAAGUAGCUGAGGAAGGAUUGAGGGGCUGGGGUCUUCCUGAAUUCAAGCCCAGUCCUCUCUUCUUAGUCUCCUGGAUGUUAUUAGAGGCUCUCCUGAUUAGAAGUACUAAGCUCUAAUUAGGCCUCCAUUAACUUAGCGUCUGAAGGCCACAUCUAGGAUAGCUUUCUCCCUCCUAGAGAUUAUUGAAGGAUUGUGGUUUAGUUGUUUUCAGUCACGUCUGAUACUUCAUCAUCUCAUUUGGGGUUUUCUUGGCAAAUAUUGGAGUGGUUUGCCAUUUCCUUCUCCAGCUCAUUUUUACUGAUGAGAAACUGAGGCAAACUGAGUGAUUUGCGUAGGGUCCCGUAUCUUGUAAGUGUCUAAGGUCAAAUUUGAACUCAGAUCUUCAUAACUCCAGAACCAGUGCUCUAUCUGCUGUGAUACCUAGCUGUCCAUUUGUGUAGUACUUAAGAUCGUAGACUGAAGACCAGAGAGCCUUCGAAGGACAACCUUCUCAUUGUACAGAUGAGGAAGCUGGGGCCCAGAUGGGAGAAGGAAUAUCCACAAGGCCUUUAUUUCCUAAUCCAUCACUAUUUCCAGUGUAAUUGCUGCUGAGGAUUAUGGGAAUAUCACUUCCACUAGAGGGACCAGUGCCUGGUGCCCCAUCAGUGAGAAGUCUUCCUUAAAGGAAUAUUCCUUGGGGGUCUGGGGAAUCAUCCCCCUCCCCCCCCCCAUUUUGUACUAGCCAUAGCUUGCAUUCACAUUUCCCAACCAGCUAUUUCGUGGAAGGUCUUUUCCCCACUGGGUGCAUUUAAAAAUAAAUUUGGUUCCCCCCCAAUUACA
rnacentral:lncRNA from 1 species